rnacentral:sRNA from 1 species
AAAACUUGUUACCGAAUUAACAAACCUAAUAAAGAUUUGUACUUCUUUGCAUAUACAAAAAGUAGAUUUAAUUCUCCAAAAUACUACAGUGAUCUCUGAGAAGAACAAAUUAGAAUCAGAUUAUAUGGCCGCAUCUUCACAACUCCGUCUUACAGAGCAACAUUUCAUUGAAUUGGAUGAAAAUAGACAGAGAUUAUUGCAGAAAUGCAAGGAACUUAUGAAGAGAGCUAGGCAAGUAUGUAACCUGGGUGCAGAGCAGACUCUUCCUCAAGAAUACCAGACAGUAAGUAUAAAAAGUAUAUAAUGCUACAGUUGCCAUAUUUAACAUAUUUUUAAGAUUAUGGGAUCUUAGGCAUUGUAACAGGCCGUGAAAAACAUGAUGUGUCGUAAAAAAUAGGGAGUUUUUCCACAUUUUUAAACUGAAUAUAUAUAUAAAAUGUUGCUUAACAGAUCAAUGGUAUUGGUACUAUAACAUUUAUUCUUCCAAUACAAAUGCCUUUUAAUGGGUACAGUUGGAACAUACAUAGUUUUUCAUGGAAACAUUGUACCAGUAAUUGGUAUAUCAGAAAUAAUAAAUAGGAUAUUUUAAAAAUAAAGGGAAAAUGAAAAUGUUUCCCUGGAAAUUGGGGUGUUUAAUUAGGGUUCAAUGAGAGCUGAAUAUUUAGGGCUAACAUCUGCCAA